CAAAUUAGAGCUUGGGAUAAAGCAUUUUAUUUACAUUAAAAAGUUAGUUGUGAGAUACAAUUUAAUUUGA
rnacentral:tRNA from 1 species